CUCUGGGGAAAUCUACUGGCUAACCAAUAGACGUUCAGGGAUACUGGCAGACUAGGGACCGGGAGAGGUGAGAGGUACUCCAGGGGUAGGAGUGAAAUCCUGGUAACUCCUUGGGGGGACCACCGUGUGGCGAAGGCGUCUCACCAGAACGGCUCCGACAGUGAGGGACGAAAGCUGGGGGAGCAAACCGGAUUAGAUACCCGGGUAGUCCCAGCCGUAACGAUGUGCGUUAGGUGUAUCGAUGACCACGAGUCAUCGAGGUGCCGAAGAGAAAUCGUGAAACGUACCGCCUGGGAAGUACGGUCGCAAGGCUGAAACUUAAAGGAAUUGGCGGGGGAGCACCACAACAGGUGGAGCCCUGCGGUUUAAUCGGACUCAACGCCGGAAAUCUCACCGGAUAAGACAGCUGGAUGAUAGUCGGGCUGAAGACUCUACUUGACUAGCUGAGGGGUGGUGCAUGG
rnacentral:rRNA from 1 species